UAACAAGGAUUCCCCUAGUAACUGCGAGUGAAGCGGGAAAAGCUCAAAUUUAAAAUCUGACAGUUUCACUGUCCGAGUUGUAAUCUGGAGAAGCAUUUUCCGUGUCGGACCGUGUACAAGUCUCUUGGAAUAGAGCGUCAUAGAGGGUGAGAAUCCCGUCCAUGACACGGACUACCGAUGCUUUGUGAUAUGCUCUCGAAGAGUCGAGUUGUUUGGGAAUGCAGCUCAAAAUGGGUGGUAAAUUCCAUCUAAAGCUAAAUAUUGGCGAGAGACCGAUAGCGAACAAGUACCGUGAGGGAAAGAUGAAAAGCACUUUGGAAAGAGAGUUAAACAGUACGUGAAAUUGUUGAAAGGGAAACGCUUGAAGUCAGUCGCGUUGAUUGAGACUCAGCCUUGCUUUGCAUGGUGUACUUCUCAGUUAACGGGUCAACAUCAAUUUCAGUUGGUGGAUAAAGGCAUUGGGAAUGUGGCACCUUCGGGUGUGUUAUAGAUCUUUGUUGCAUACACUGACCGGGAUUGAGGAACGCAGCACGCCACUAAGGCCAGGGAUUCGUCCCAUGUAACGUGCUUAGGAUGUUGGCAUAAUGGCUUUAAGCGACCCGUCUUGAAACACGGACCAAGGAGUCUAACAUGCCUGCGAGUAUUAGGGUGGAAAACCCUUGUGCGUAAUGAAAGUGAAAGUUGGGACCUCUUGCGAGGGCACCGACGCCCGGCCCUGAAGUUUACUGACGGCGCUGCGGUAGAGCAUGUAUGUUGGGACCCGAAAGAUGGUGAACUAUGCCUGAAUAGGGUGAAGCCAGGGGAAACUCUGGUGGAGGCUCGUAGCGAUUCUGACGUGCAAAUCGAUCGUCAAAUUUGGG
rnacentral:rRNA from 1 species